AAAAAGAUAAGCUAAUUAAGCUUUUGGGUUCAUACCCCAACUAUAAAGACUUUCUUUUCUUUUUA
rnacentral:tRNA from 1 species